UACGGAGGGUGCAAACGUUGCUCGGAAUCAUUGGGCGUAAAGCGCACGUAGGCGGCUUGUUAAGUCGGAUGUGAAAGCCCUCGGCUCAACCGAGGAAGUGCAUACGAAACUGGCGAGCUUGAAUAUGGAAGAGGGUCGCGGAAUUCCCGGUGUAGAGGUGAAAUUCGUAGAUAUCGGGAGAACACCGGUGGCGAAGGCGGUCAC
rnacentral:rRNA from 1 species